CCUACGGGCGGCAGCAGUAGGGAAUAUUGCUCAAUGGGGGAAACCCUGAAGCAGCAACGCCGCGUGGAGGAUGAAGGUUUUCGGAUUGUAAACUCCUUUUGUUAGAGAAGAUAAUGUAGGUAUCUAACGAAUUAGCAACGGCUAACUCAGUGCCAGCAGCCGCGGUAAUACGGAGGAUGCAAGCGUUAGUCGGAAUCACUGGGCGUAAAGGGCGCGUAGGCGGGAUUGCAAGUCAGAGGUGAAAUCCUAUGGCUUAACCAUAGAACUGCAGUUGAAACUGUUAUACUAGAGUAUGGUAGAGGUAGGUGGAAUUCUUGGUGUAGGGGUAAAAUCCGUAGAGAUCAAGAGGAAUACUCAUUGCGAAGGCGACCUGCUAGAACAUAACUGACGCUGAUGCGCGAAAGCGUGGGGAGCAAACAGGAUUAGAUACCCUAGUAGUC
rnacentral:rRNA from 1 species